AGGAUCUUAGGGUACCUAUUGAAGCGUAUCAAAUGCAGUAGGAUAUUGAUGUUUGGGUUCUCGUCGCAGAUGCAAAUGGUCCAUGGCUCCAGGCACAAUAAUCUCUCGAGGAAAAGUGGGAUGACGUCAUCGAUGGCAGGGGAUACUCCAGAAAGGGAAAUAUUCCACUUUAAGCCGCUUGUCGUGACGUCACUCGCAGUUUGGCACCAAUUCUGGGAAAGUGAAGUUGUUGGUUACAUCGUACUUGUUUUCUUUGUUGUUGUUGCAAAGAAACGUUUGGUGGAUGUUAUUGUUUUCUUUUAUUUGAAAUGACGAUCUUCAAACGAAGUAAACAGAUGUUGACACUCGACGUCAACUGAAAGAGGAAGACGAAAAAUUAGGGCAACCUUCUUGCAACAGACAAUUAUGAACAAUGAGCAAAACGACGCACAUCAGCGAAACAAUCAGAAACGAUUGAUUUAGCCAAGGGGUGUGAGCUAAACGUUUGACAAGUGCCCCCCAUGGGCAUUAGCCAUCGUGUCGCAAUUCCGACGAUUUCCAUUAGCUAACGAGUUCUCACGAGUUUCCCCACUUCAUUGACAGCAAUUCAAUUGACUCAAACUGAAUUGAUUGUGUUCGUCUUCUAUGGCCUUUCCCCAUCCAUCGGUCGCCAUCACAAGGUCAGGACCUGCCCCCUCCCCCAAGGAAAACUAAAAUCUACUCCCCACCCCCCCAUCCCCACUCCUAGGGGGAGCGAAAACUUGGCGCUCAUCAUUUCAUCAAGUCAUCAUAUCCAUUGUGACCGACAUUCGAGCUGGCUGUGACAUGUCGUUUCUGCAUGGCUCUCUGCUUAAACUAACCGGUUUAAGUGUUUAUUACCAAAGUUUUCAGCCGUAUUCGGCUACAACAGUUAAGUGUUGAAAUACGGUGAUGUAUCAAGUGUAACUUGAGGUGCUGAACAAUCUGUAGACUGGCUUUUAUUCAUCCAGUUCAACAAUCAGCACUUACUUAGUUUUUGAAAAGAGAGAAAGAACAGCAACGGCAAAACGGCCAGCUGAUUGUCAUUUGGCGGGAAUGCAGCAGCCCCACCUAAUCGCCUAUUGUAAAUCAGUUAAUUUGUGGAUGGCUGUGCUGCGUUUGAAUACAAUUCAAGGCGAAAGAAGUUCUCUGCUCCUUUUCCAGGGUGGGCAGACGAAACCCAGUACACAUUUGAAUAGUGGAAGGAUGGUGAAUCUUGUGCAGGGUCAACUUAAGGAAAAAUCAAUUGUCUGAGACGUGGAGUGGGAAUAAGCCAUUUAAUGUGCAGGAUUGACCAUUGUGUUGAAGAAAGUUAUAGCAGAAAAGACUUCAAUGGUAUCAUGAAGAAAACAUUUAGGAAGAGAUGGUAUCUGCACAAGAUGCAUGUGUUAUUAAGCUCAAUUUGGUUGAAACAUUCACCUUAAACCUCCAGUGCUUUUUAGUAGCUGGGAUAACCAAGAAGCAGAAAAAACAAAAUUGAAAAUUGGCUUGAAGCUGAAUCUCACAAUGGGGACCUCAGAUAUAAAGCGACUGGUGCAAACGAGGUCCCGAUCAGACGGUGGCCAGUCCUCGACAAAACUACAUUAGAAUUUGCUAAAAUCUUUCUUUUAAAUUCACUGUUUGUGAUUCUGGACGUUAAAUUGUGACUAGGGUUUGUUUCGUUUGAUCUUUCAUUCGUUAUUGAAGAAAAUAAUAACGGGACAAAGGACAAAAGAAAUUGGGUGGGCGAGUUUUCGCAAGUGGAAGCUCAUCCAGGCAAUUUCUUUGUUCUUUGUCGAUUAAUGUAUUCUUCAAAACGUGAUCGAUAAAUAGUUAAAUUUGAAUCGAGAAGAGAUGUAUUGAAAUCGCUGUUCCAAGCUGGAAUGCACAUCAACAUUUGCAAUUAGGGAAUUCGUCUAUAGACGCUCAACAUUCGUAGCUAUUGGGUCAAGUCUUCCUCUAGGAAAACGCCGGUGAAAUGAGUGAAGCGACGGCCGUACAGCAACACCUUGUCCGACAUUUCCGAAAUCUCCACCCAGACUUGAUCGUUUUUGAUCAAACCGAGCGUCGAUUCGAGCGCAAACGUUUCGAACGUACCGCCCGUGUUGGUCGCGUGCGAAUAGCCAGAGCCGAUCCAAUUGCCGUUUUUGAUCAAACUGAUUUGAAAGCGAUAGGAAGGCACCACGGGAGUCUCGUUGUACAGUCCGGCCGUCAGUUGCGUGUACGGGAAAUAGGCCACUCCCGAAAUGGAGAAACUGUACUUGCCCGCACGAGGGGCCACGAACUUGCCCGUUUGCAAAUUCAUGGCUCCCCCGAUGUUCAAUUGCUCCACGUCGAACGGAAUGGGGAUGUUGGUUUCCAUGAACGGACUGCUCCUCGUCACGUAGAAAUAAGUGGACGCCGAUUUCACGUCGACGUAGCCGAUCCAUUUUUGCAUCUCUGUUUUUCAUUGUUUAAAAUUGGCUUAUUUUUAUCAAUUGAGAGAUUGGUGUGAUUGCGAAUUAUACCUUUAGCAUUGGGGUGAAAAUUGCAGUAAACUGUUUCCACGGAUCGAGUUCCCAUAACGGAAUACAAUCCGCUUAUUCGAUGUCCGAUGUGUUGCAAAUCCGAACAUGAUGUCGGCAUUUUUCCAAUGUCCGUCACGGCGCUCGUUCUCUCUUGUUUUUGGGUUUCACAGUUUCAAAAAUGAAUAAAGAACAACACCAUAAAAUGUAGAUCGUCAGACUUACCGCUUAACUUGAUGGCUAAAUCGUCCACGAUGGCUUUUGUUUCUGCAAAAUCAAAGCGAAAUGUUGCAUGCUAAUUCGUCAUCGUAAACUUUCUUAAUUGAACGCCGAGUCACGAGAAUACCGUGCAACUUGAUCUCCACCUCGUCGCCGUGCCGCUCGUUUUGCAACGCAAUCACAAUCGCGUUUUGCUGUUGGAUUUUCGAUUCGAGGCCAAUCACUUUCGUUUCUAAACGGACGAUUUUUGCUUCCAAAACUUCUUUGAUUUCAGCCUUCUCGCCCCGCCCCAAAACAAAAAUUCAAUUGUCGGGGGUGUUAUUUCGAAUGACAAAUUUAUGAUUGACUUACGUAGUUUUUCGCCAAUUGUUGCACCGUGUCUUCGAAGGAUUGGCCGUUCGCGUUGGUGUAAAUUGUGCAAGCCAAAAAGAGCCAAAACAAAUUAAUCAACGCAUCCAAAUGACGGGCCAUCUUUUCGCUGUUCAGCAAAGCGCACUGUUGCAAUCCUUUCUAGAUGACGAUCACUGUCCAAUUGUCGUUGUACUCACCGGAAUACGUCAAUACGCCACACUGACGGCCAGGGGGAGGGUUUUGAAAUACGUCAAGUUUCUUGUUUUCAAACGUACCAUGUAACUGAAAGCGGCUAGAAUUUUGGAUUUCCCAGUCUGUUCCCAGCACUUCUUUUUUAUUCACGUGUACCUCCGCCCCUUCUCUCAAAGAGCUGUGCUGCACGUCUUUUUUUUUUGUGUGGAAGGUUCAGGUAUACAACUCAAUUCAUCACCUGGUAUCGAAAGUUGUUGUAAAACUUUAUGGCCAUCUGGGAGGGGACGCUCGCGCUUGGUCGUUUGAUCAAUGAUGGAUGUUUGGAAAGAGUGAGCGACACACGUCACGAACGCUUUUGGGGGUUCUAGUUUUCCAAAGGAGGGGGGGGGAGAGUUAUUAAGAGGCCGAGUAUUAUGUUGUGGUGUUCGUUGUGCAUUAAGAAUCAUGCAAUAAUUUCAUGAUUUUGCAAUCAUCGUUGGUGAUGAGGGAAAAGACGCAAGAAAUUAAGGGGAAGGGGAUCAUUUUGCAUAUUUGAUGUUGUAUGUGUACUUGAAUGGAUUAUAGAGAAGCGAGCCGUGCUUAUAACUAACACGUUUGGUUUUGAUGUUGGAAUUGAUUUGAAUUAGCGAUUCAUCACGAAUGAGUAAGUGCCUUUUAAAGUUGUGUUUACUGUGUUUGUAUAGAUUUUUUUUUUAAAUAUUUUAUUCUUUAAAAUUGCAGUUUUUUGGUCUGCGUUCAAUAAGUAGGUUACCUUUGGGGGGGGGGGACAUUCACGAGACUUUGGUCAUGCGUGUGACAUAGGUUGGGCUUUAUCGAAAGCACCAACUGUUGUAUGGUAAUGACUCGCUUUUUGUGCAUUAAUUCUUUGCUUAGACCCAAACAAUUAAACUUUGCCUUUCGGUCUUUCAUUUGGCUUUCAAGUGUCAGGGCUAAACUAUAGACCCACUUACUCGGAUCGCUCGUUUGCUUUGUUAAGUCCCAAAAAACUGUUUUCACUGAUUGAUUCCGCUAAUAGUUUGUCUCGUACAACUGAGAUCUUCGCAGGAACGUGGGAUUUUUGGAUUUCCGGGUGUUUGACUGGAUCCUGACGUCGUUUCAAUUGAUCUGCCAGCAAUUAUUAUCUGAUUUCUCAGAGCUUUGGCUUUGGCUACGCAGAUUUAUGUUUUCCUGUUUCAGUAUGUCCAGGAGGACAUUCUUUCUCUGAAGAGCCGACUUCAUUUUGAUCCACAAACUAAAUGAAAAAAGUUGUCUCUUAGCUGUUCCAGUUGCUCUUCUCCGAUAAAAACUAGCCAUCACACAAGACAAUCACAAAGCCAAAAUAAAUGGGAUGACAGUGAUGCAUCACGCCAUGUUGUAUGACUCCAUUGGAUUACGACUGCCUUUUUAUUACGGUGUCAUCGAACGAUACAAGUUGUUUCCCCAAGUUCACGAACCAGUGCAUUUCUACAUAGGACUCUAACCAAUCGAUUUUACCAUCAUUUAUCGAUUGGGUAGUUGUUUUCAUCCUUUCUACAGAUUGUUCUGCACGUGAAGCAAAUCGAGACCAUCGACAUUUCUUCUGGGACUGAAAUUCUAAAAAUUAAAAGGUGAAAAGGGUUUUGGACAUUCAAUGGAAUUGGACCACAAAACUUCCAGCAAUCCUAGGGAAAGUCCCUUGAAUGAAUCCCUGUUAAAAAAUCAACCAUAUGAAACUUAAUUAACGAUUGAGGCUGGAAAAUAUUAGAUAUAUUUUGAAAUAAAUAUAGUAACAAGUCUUAACAAUUCAUUAAUUGGAAUGCUAGCAGCUGGAACCAGGAAACAAUGGAUUCAUGUUAUAAAGUUAAAACACCUUGUAAUUUCAUUUGAUUUGCAAAUCCUAGAACAAAAGUCUGUUCAUUUGAUUUUUAUAGUUGUUUCUACAAAGCUUUUAUCUUAAAGAUCUGUCUUCUUUUAAAUUGUUGAAUAAAUCACAGGAUUGGUGAUGUUUUUACAUGAAAAACCAUAUUCAUAGCACUUAAUAUGCACCUUUCAUAACAAUUAUUCUUCUAAGCAAAUAAUACAAACACACCUUGACAUCA